UAAAAGAUAGGCUAUACUUCCAUAAGCCAAGAGGCUCAUAACCUCUCCAAAAGGUUUUCUUUCUUUUAA
rnacentral:tRNA from 1 species